AGCUCCAAUAGCGUAUAUUAAAGUUGUUGCAGUUAAAAAGCUCGUAGUUGGAUUUGUGGUGUGUCCAGUCGACCUUUGCUCUUUGAGUGAUUGUGUUGUACUGGUCUGCCAUGUUUGGGUGGAAUCUGUGUGGCAUUAAGUUGUCGUGCAGGGGAUGCCCAUCGUUUACUGUGAAAAAAUUAGAGUGUUCAAAGCAGGCUUAUGCCGUUGAAUAUAUUAGCAUGGAAUAAUGAUAUAGGACCUUGGUACUAUUUUGUUGGUUUGCGCACUAAGGUAAUGAUUAAGAGGGACAGUUGGGGGUAUUUGUAUUCCAUUGUCAGAGGUGAAAUUCUUGGAUUUUUGGAAGACAAACUACUGCGAAAGCAUUUACCAAGGAUGUUUUCAUUA
rnacentral:rRNA from 1 species